UAGUCUAUGGUGGACAGACAGUAAAUGUGCGAGCACAAGUAGAGGUGCUAGCAAAAUCUUUAGUUCUUUCUUCGUCCUAAUCUUUAUCCAUUCCCAAAUUAUCGUUCUUCACAUUUUCGCUGCAUUAAUUUGUCUAACUUAAUCAUUUCUCCUAAUUCCCUUGAUUCCUCCCAAUUCUCAUUCAAUACCCCUCUUCGCCGCCAGCCUCCAGCCACCGAUCAAUUCUCUCCGCCGCCAACCACCAGCCAGUCGCUCUCUCUAAAAUUCAGGAACAACAGUUUCAGUGAAGAUCGCUAGAAAAAUUAUUUGAGAAGCAUAGAAGAACUGACCCCUGGUCUUGCAUAAGCUGGAGCUUUGGUCAAGAUUCUAUUUGCAUAGUCUACGACAGAAUAAUUUAGUUGAUAAAGAUUGAAGCAUUUGAUAGGGUGGGAGAGGUACAAGCAAUGCAAGAGCAAGUCACUAUCAAGGUGUGCGAGGACUUGGAGAAGCAAAAUGAGGCUUCGCCCAUCGAGUUGGAGAGGCAAAAUGCAGCAUCUCGCGCUGAGUUAGUGAGGCAAAAUGCGGAGUUGAGCGCAUAUUUUGAGAAAAAGUGAGAGGUUGUUAGAAAAGAUUAUGAACCUUGGUGAACAAGUUAACGAAAUGAGAAAAAGUGUAAAACAAUAUUAUUACUUUUAUGUAAUUUUUGAGUUUUUAUUA